AACGAACGCUGGCGGCGCGCCUAACACAUGCAAGUCGAACGAGAAGGCGUAGCAAUACGCUUGUAAAGUGGCGAACGGGUGAGGAAUACGUGGGUAACCUACCCUCGAGUGGGGAAUAACCAACCGAAAGGUUGGCUAAUGCCGCGUACGCUUCCAUCUUUUCGGGGGUGAAGGAAAGCUGUACCGUGGGUACGGCGCUCAAGGAUGGGCUCACGUCCUAUCAGCUUGUUGGUAGGGUAACGGCCUACCAAGGCAACGACGGGUAGCUGGUCUGAGAGGACGAUCAGCCACACUGGCACUGCGACACGGGCCAGACUCCUACGGGAGGCAGCAGUGAGGAAUAUUGCGCAAUGGGCGAAAGCCUGACGCAGCGACGCCGCGUGGGGA
rnacentral:rRNA from 1 species